rnacentral:lncRNA from 1 species
CCGAGUUAGUAUGUUGUUCUGUUCGACUGUAGUCGAGUUGACAGACCAUUUAGCCCGAUUAUAGUCGAGUCUGCAUGUUGUUCCACCCGAUUAGAGCCGAGUCAGCAUGUUGUUCUGCCCGACCGUAGUCGAGUCGACAUAUUGUUCCAUCCGAUCGUAGUCGAGUCGGCAUGUUUCAUCCAACUGGAGUCGAGUCAAUAUAUUGUUCCAUCGGAUUAGAGUCAAAUCGGCAUGUUGUUCUUCUUGAUCGUAGUCGAGUCAAAAUAUUCUGCUCGAUCGUAGUCGAGUCGAAAUAUUCUUCCACUCGAUCGGAGCUAAAUCGAUAUGUUGUUCUGC